AAUGGAGAGCCUGAAUUAAAGGACUAUCGUGAUAGGAUAAAAUAUGUAGUAAAUCAUCUACCUUCAUUA
rnacentral:tRNA from 1 species